CCUACGGGAGGCUGCAGUAGGGAAUCUUCCACAAUGGACGAAAGUCUGAUGGAGCAACGCCGCGUGAGUGAAGAAGGGUUUCGGCUCGUAAAGCUCUGUUGGUAGUGAAGAAAGAUAGAGGUAGUAACUGGCCUUUAUUUGACGGUAAUUACUUAGAAAGUCACGGCUAACUACGUGCCAGCAGCCGCGGUAAUACGUAAGUGGCAAGCGUUGUCCGGUUUUAUUGGGCGUAAAGCGAGUGCAGGCGGUUCAAUAAGUCUGAUGUGAAAGCCUUCGGCUCAACCGGAGAAUUGCAUCAGAAACUGUUGGACUUGAGUGCAGAAGAGGAGAGUGGAACUCCAGGUGUAGCGGUGGAAUGCGUAGAUAUAUGGAAGAACACCAGUGGCGAAGGCGGCUCUCUGGUCUGCAACUGACGCUGAGGCUCGAAAGCAUGGGUAGCGAACAGGAUUAGAUACCCGGGUAGUC
rnacentral:rRNA from 1 species